UGGGGAGAGGGUGUGGCUCAGUGUCAGAACAUCUGUUUAGCAUGCAGAUGUUCCCAGGUUCAAUUCCUGGCAUCUCAA
rnacentral:tRNA from 1 species